GUAUUUUUCCCUAGUAAGCCAUUAGUGCUAAACUGGGGGCUAAUUUUACAAAUUGGGAAUCAUAAGCUCAAUAACCUUGUGCUCUAUUUGUACCUUGUUACUUUUCGAGUAUAACUUUCUCAUAGCGGUUUAAAUAAUGGCUACAUACUUGCUCCUUUUAUCGUUUCCAUAUAGAUUUUCAAUGUGUUCUGAGAAUUUUGGGUCGUCUAGGAUACAAUCCACACUGUCUACUCUGCAUGGGCUAUGCAACAAC
rnacentral:misc_RNA from 1 species